rnacentral:rRNA from 1 species
AGUGAACGCUGGCGGUAGGCCUAACACAUGCAAGUCGAACGGCAGCACAGUAAGAGCUUGCUCUUACGGGUGGCGAGUGGCGGACGGGUGAGGAAUACAUCGGAAUCUACUUUUUCGUGGGGGAUAACGUAGGGAAACUUACGCUAAUACCGCAUACGACCUACGGUUGAAAGCAGGGGAUCUUCGGACCUUGCGCGAUUGAAUGAGCCGAUGUCGGAUUAGCUAGUUGGCGGGGUAAAGGCCCACCAAGGCGACGAUCCGUAGCUGGUCUGAGAGGAUGAUCAGCCACACUGGAACUGAGACAUGGUCCAGACUCCUACGGGAGGCAGCAGUGGGGAAUAUUGGACAAAGGGCGCAAGCAUGAUCCAGCCAUACCGCGUGGGUGAAGAAGGCCUUCGGGUUGUAAAGCCCUUUUGUUGGGAAAGAAAAGCAGCAGGUUAAUACCCCGCUGUUCUGACGGUACCCAAAGAAUAAGCACCGGCUAACUUCGUG